GGGGUUGUAGCUCAGUGGUAGAGCACUUGCCUAGCAUGUGUGAGGCCCUGGGUUCAAUCCCCAGCACCA
rnacentral:tRNA from 1 species